CAUAAAACUACAGCCAUUCACGAAAUGAGGUGAACAGUCACCUCUGAAGGGAUCACAACAGAACAUAAGCUGCCAGUCCUUGUUGUAUUAGGAUGUCACUUAUUAUCCCCAUACGUACCAAUAGGAACCUUAGAAGAAAAAAAUGAGGAGAACUUCACACAUGGAAGGAGAGCAUGAAAAAAAUCCAGCUGUGAGUUCCUUUGAAUACAUGAACAGACUCACAAUGGAGAGAUAUCUUGAAAAUGCAAAUGACAGGGCAAAGUCUUCCCUGUUCACAGUUUCUUUAAUCACCAAGAGAGGACUCACAGUGGAAAGGAAACAUAUAGGCUCCCAGUCCCCAGCUGCUGAGGAGCCGAUUGAUGUGAGCGUGAUGGCCAGUCCCUGCUUCUCUGCCUUCCAAUCCACUACGGUAUGAGAAACACUCCCCACAAGCUCCCAGAAUAAAGCCACUGAGCCAAGGUGCUAUGCUUUUACCUCCAUGAUGGACUAUUGCCUUUGACACUGUGAGACACAAUAAAUUCUUCUUCUCUAAGUGGCUUCUGUCAGGUGUUUUGCCAUAGUGAUGAGAAGAGCCACACAUCCCCAAACACAGAAUGAGAAAUGUUCUUCUCCCCCUGUACAUGGCCAGUGGAUGAGAAGCACUGUGGAAACUCUCCCAAUGCCCAAGCCUGGUGAUGACAAUUGCUUGGACACACAACUGAAGAUAAUGACAGCCCCUCCCAGAAAAUCCAUCAGUAGCCAAUAGUUUCCAGGAAGAAGUACAGCCCAGGUUGGAUCUCUCUGAUCCAUGAGUGACUGUUGACCGCUCCGUGAAUAUGAUGACGUCAUGACUGUAUUGACUGUGUUAUAUAUGCCCAGAGGUAUCAUUGGAAAUUGAAUUUCUUCCCUCCUACUCACCCCACGGUCACAGCUGGAAAUAAGCUGUUGCUUGUUGGUAAACUGCUCACCAGCUCCAGAGUGGGUACUGCUCUCCACUAACAUGUAUGCUGUCAUUUGCUAAAUGAAGCCAACAGUUUUGCCAAGGGCAAGUCAUGUAAAAGCCCAUGCCAACAAAGAUGGUAGUCACUAGGUCAGGAGGCCUAUGUUAGACUUAAAUGAAUUAAAGUGAAGUGAAAUUUGGAAAACUCUGACUUUGGUGGAACCUGCUAUUGUUUUUGGGGAUUCAAAAACCUCAUUGUGGCUGAUAUAUACUGUAUUGACAGAGUGGGCUUAAAAUAUCUGUCAGGGCAGAAACAACUUUCUAUACAAGAAUUAUAAAUAUCAAGCCAAUCUAUACAAAAAGUGUGGACAAAUAAUGUGAGUUUACCAAUAAGGAAAUGGAGGCACGGAGAAGCUAUGUAACUUGCUCAAGUUCACACAGUAAGGAGGAAAAGGAGACAUGAGUGCAAUUGGUACUCGGUCAUUGCUUAAACCUAUCCUGUCCUGAUUGUCUUUAACAUAUGACUUACAUCGGUUUUUACUUAGUAAUACGAGAACCUUGCCCAUCAUUUUCUCUACUUUUGCCAUUGAAUCCUUGUAGCUCUAUGGGCUUGGAGAUUCACAUUGUUAUUAUUACCUCUAUUCUCUUGGUAUUAAAGCAAAACUUAAAAGCUAACUAGAGCUAGUAAAUUGGAAGAACCGAACCGGAAAUAAAUCUAGGUCUUUCUGACUUAAAACAUUCUCCUUGAAACACCACCCACACUGUGAUCUCUGACAGAUGAGAUAAAAAUAGCAACCCAGCGAAGAAUCAUUUGCAGCGUUAGCUUUUCAUGUUAUCGCUAAACCAUCCUUUGAGGGCACCAGUUCUAAGUUGACCCUGUACUAUAUUUGAAAACACAGCUACCAUCCACCUUUUUCUUUUUGACUUUACGAGGAAAGAAUUUGAUUUCCUCACCAGUGCGAAAUGUGACAAGGUGGCCUUGAGGCCUUGAGGUAUAUUACUGGAUGAUAAUGGGAUUUUCUAUUUAGGGUAAAGUUGGGGACAUACUUUUUAACAAGGGAUCCAGUAGCUUACAUGUCAUAGAGUGACAGGGUAAGAAGAUGUGGAAGAGCAAGUAGGAAAUACAUAGGGCAACCUGCGCUUUGGGUGUGGCAAAUUCUUGAGUUCACACAGUAAGGAGGGGCCUGAGACCUGAAAGCAAUUGGUACUAGAUCAUUGCAUAACUAUAUUCUGUCCUGGCUCUAAUAACACAGAUGACUUGCAAUGCUUUUUAUUUAGAAACAUGAGGACUCUGCCCAUCAUUUUCCUUACUUUAGGCUAUUGAAUUCUUGUUGCUCUAUGAUGCCUCCUUUCCGUUAUGCGAACCCUGUUAUUCAGCUGUCCUGAGAGGUGAGACAGGAGUGCGCACAUCAGAGCCUUGGAGCUCACACAGAGUCCAGAGUGACACUGUUUUCACUGUCUCCCUUGACAGACAGCUGGGGUCCUGCCUGACUAACAGCCGUGGGUGGGUGUAAGCACAGAAAGCUGUGGAAGAAGCCCCUCAUCUGGCAUCCUCUGGGAGAAGACAACUUCAGAGAGAAGAGGCCUCCGUCCCUCCUCCUUCCCUUGCCCUUAGCGUCCCCCUCCUGAAGGAGAGGGCUAAGUUCUGGUGAUUGGGCCAGAGUCACUGUGGAGCAGGGAGGCUAAUGAGUGUGGGAGGCUUUUUUGGUUUUGUUUUUUUGUUGUUUUAAAUUGGAUACAUGGAAGAUAGUAUGGUUUGGAUCUUAAAUAUCUCCCAGAGGGCUUAGGCUACAAGUGUGAGAUAUGGAGACAUUAAGGCUUGUGGAAGAAAGUUAUGUCACUAGGGGUAUGUUCUUGAAGGAGAUACCAGGACCCUGGCAUCUUCCUACUUUCAUCUUUUCCUGGAUAUUGUAGUCCUCUGCUAUAUGUUCCAAACAUUAUGCAGCAUAAACAACUGACCAGAGACUGAUACUCUGAAACUGUGGUCCAGAGUCAUCUUUUCCUCCUUUUAGUUGAUAUAUAUGA